rnacentral:rRNA from 1 species
UACAGAGGGGGCAAGCGUUAUUCGGAAUUACUGGGCGUAAAGGGCGCGUAGGCGGCCUGGCAAGUGACGGGUGAAAGCCCUCGGCUCAACCGAGGAACUGCCUGUCAUACUGCCGGGCUUGAGUCCGGGAGAGGUGAGUGGAAUUCCCAGUGUAGCGGUGAAAUGCGUAGAUAUUGGGAGGAACACCAGUGGCGAAGGCGGCUCACUGGACCGGAACUGACGCUGAGGCGCGAAAGCGUGGGGAGCAAACAGG